UGGGAAUUUUGGACAAUGGGCGCAAGCCUGAUCCAGCCAUGCCGCGUGCGGGAAGAAGGCCUUCGGGUUGUAAACCGCUUUUGUCAGGGAAGAAAUCUUCUGAGUUAAUACCUCGGGAGGAUGACGGUACCUGAAGAAUAAGCACCGGCUAACUACGUGCCAGCAGCCGCGGUAAUACGUAGGGUGCAAGCGUUAAUCGGAAUUACUGGGCGUAAAGCGUGCGCAGGCGGUUUUGUAAGACAGAGGCGAAAUCCCCGGGCUCAACCUGGGAACUGCCUUUGUGACUGCAAGGCUUGAGUGCGGCAGAGGGGGGAUGGAAUUCCGCGUGUAGCAGUGAAAUGCGUAGAUAUGCGGAGGAACACCGAUGGCGAAGGCAAAUCCCCCUGGGCCUGCACUGACGCUCAUGCACGAAAAGCGUGGGGAGCAAAACAGGAUUAGAUACCCCUGGUGGUCCACGCCCUAAAACGAUGUC
rnacentral:rRNA from 1 species